UACGUAGGGACCAAGCGUUGUUCGGAUUUACUGGGCGUAAAGGGCGCGUAGGCGGCAUGACAAGUCACUUGUGAAAUCUCCGGGCUUAACUCGGAACGGCCAAGUGAAACUGUCAAGCUAGAGUGCAGAAGGGGCAAUCGGAAUUCUUGGUGUAGCGGUGAAAUGCGUAGAUAUCAAGAGGAACACCUGAGGUGAAGACGGGUUGCUGGGCUGACACUGACGCUGAGUGCGCGAAAGCCAGGGGAGCAAACGGG
rnacentral:rRNA from 1 species